rnacentral:rRNA from 1 species
AACGAACGCUGGCGGCAUGCCUAACACAUGCAAGUCGAACGAUACCUUCGGGUAUAGUGGCGCACGGGUGCGUAACGCGUGGGAACCUGCCCUUAGGUUCGGAAUAACUCCCCGAAAGGGGUGCUAAUACCGGAUAAUGUCUUCGGACCAAAGAUUUAUCGCCUUUGGAUGGGCCCGCGUUGGAUUAGCUAGUUGGUAGGGUAAAAGCCUACCAAGGCGACGAUCCAUAGCUGGUCUGAGAGGAUGAUCAGCCACACUGGGACUGAGACACGGCCCAGACUCCUACGGGAGGCAGCAGUGGGGAAUAUUGGACAAUGGGCGAAAGCCUGAUCCAGCAAUGCCGCGUGAGUGAUGAAGGCCUUAGGGUUGUAAAGCUCUUUUACCCGGGAUGAUAAUGACAGUACCGGGAGAAUAAGCUCCGGCUAACUCCGUG